GCACAAUGGGCGGAAGCCUGAUGCAGCGACGCCGCGUGGGGGAUGAAGGCUUUCGGGUCGUAAACUCCUUUCAGCAGGGACGAAGCUUUUUGUGACGGUACCUGCAGAAGAAGCACCGGCUAACUACGUGCCAGCAGCCGCGGUAAUACGUAGGGUGCGAGCGUUGUCCGGAAUUAUUGGGCGUAAAGAGCUUGUAGGCGGUUUGUCGCGUCUGCCGUGAAAGCCCAGGGCUUAACCCUGGGUCUGCGGUGGGUACGGGCAGACUAGAGUGUGGUAGGGGAGACUGGAAUUCCUGGUGUAGCGGUGAAAUGCGCAGAUAUCAGGAGGAACACCGAUGGCGAAGGCAGGUCUCUGGGCCACUACUGACGCUGAGAAGCGAAAGCAUGGGGAGCAAACAGGAUUAGAUACCCUGGUAGUCCAUGCCGUAAACGUUGGGAACUAGGUGUGGGCCUCAUUCCACGAGGUCCGUGCCGUAGCUAACGCAUUAAGUUCCCCGCCUGGGGAGUACGGCCGCAAGGCUAAAACUCAAAGGAAUUGACGGGGGCCCGCACAAGCGGCGGAGCAUGCGGAUUAAUUCGAUGCAACGCGAAGAACCUUACCAAGGCUUGACAUACACCGGAAUGUGCCAGAGAUGGUGCAGCCUUCGGGCUGGUGUACAGGUGGUGCAUGGUUGUCGUCAGCUCGUGUCGUGAGAUGUUGGGUUAAGUCCCGCAACGAGCGCAACCCUCGUUCCAUGUUGCCAGCACGUAAUGGUGGGGACUCAUGGGAGACUGCCGGGGUCAACUCGGAGGAAGGUGGGGAUGACGUCAAAUCAUCAUGCCCCUUAUGUCUUGGGCUUCACGCAUGCUACAAUGGCUGGUACAGAGGGUUGCGAUACCGUGAGGUGGAGCGAAUCCCUUAAAACUGGUCUCAGUUCGGAUUGGGGUCUGCAACUCGACCCCAUGAAGUUGGAGUCGCUAGUAAUCGCAGAUCAGCAACGCUGCGGUGAAUACGUUCCCGGGCCUUGUACACACCGCCCGUCAAGUCACGAAAGUCGGUAACACCCGAAGCCGGUGGCCCAACC
rnacentral:rRNA from 1 species